UUUCCUGGAAAUAAGAAAAUCAACAACUUUUGAAGCUGCAACAAUGUUUCGGACAGUAAUUACCAGACAUUGAAAGAUGUUUUCAUGAAGAAUGAAGCUUGUCUGUACACUUUUCUUCCCCAUGACUGCCAAAACAGAGCUGAAAUCGUUAGUUAAUUAACAGCACACCUUGAAAUUAGUUUGUCCCUGCAUGUCGGGGGCUGAUAUUUCUUGAUGGAUGAUGAACAAAUUGCGAGCAAAGGUCAUCAGCGCUCCCUGGAGGUCCUCAGCAAUGCUCCUGGUAAUGAGAAUCGGAGAGAAGCAGGAUCCUGUCCGCCAUCAUGGAAAGAGAGGUGUUCAUUUCAGUGUAAUAAUACACAAGAGGGAAAGUUAUAUCUUCAAUUCUCACAUAAGGGACAUUCCACUUCUGUUUUACUGAAUGUGGACGCAGUUCUGUAAGUGGUCC